GACGAACGCUGGCGGCGUGCCUAAUACAUGCAAGUAGAACGCUGAAGGAGGAGCUUGCUUCUCUGGAUGAGUUGCGAACGGGUGGGUAACGCGUAGGUAACCUGCCUGGUAGCGGGGGAUAACUAUUGGAAACGAUAGCUAAUACCGCAUAAGAGUAGAUGUUGCAUGACAUUUGCUUAAAAGGUGCAAUUGCAUCACUACCAGAUGGACCUGCGUUGUAUUAGCUAGUUGGUGAGGUAACGGCUCACCAAGGCAACGAUACAUAGCCGACCUGAGAGGGUGAUCGGCCACACUGGGACUGAGACACGGCCCAGACUCCUACGGGAGGCAGCAGUAGGGAAUCUUCGGCAAUGGACGGAAGUCUGACCGAGCAACGCCGCGUGAGUGAAGAAGGUUUUCGGAUCGUAAAGCUCUGUUGUAAGAGAAGAACGAGUGUGAGAGUGGAAAGUUCACACUGGGACGGUAUCUUACCAGAAAAGGACGGCUAACUACGU
rnacentral:rRNA from 1 species